GUGGCCAGCGCCCGCCAGAGGACCAUCGAACUCCGGUCAGUGAACGUUGCCGUCUGAAAAACAAUCAAUAAACUAAAACUUUCAACAACGGAUCUCUUGGUUCUGGCAUCGAUGAAGAACGCAGCGAAAUGCGAUAAGUAAUGUGAAUUGCAGAAUUCAGUGAAUCAUCGAAUCUUUGAACGCACAUUGCGCCCCUCGGUAUUCCGAGGGGCAUGCCUGUUCGAGCGUCAUUACAACCCUCAAGCUCUGCUUGGUGUUGGGCACCGCCCUUCCGCGGGCGCGCCUCAAAGACCUCGGCGGUGGCGUCUUGCCUCGAGCGUAGUAGAAAACACCUCGCUUUGGAGCGCACGGCGCCGCCCGCCGGACGAACCUUUUGAACUUCUCAAGGUUGACCUCGGAUCAAGUAGGG
rnacentral:rRNA from 1 species